rnacentral:rRNA from 1 species
GCAGUCGAGCGAGACCUUCGGGUCUAGCGGCGGACGGGUGAGUAACGCGUGGGAACGUGCCCUUUGCUACGGAAUAGUCCCGGGAAACUGGGUUUAAUACCGUAUGUGCCCUUCGGGGGAAAGAUUUAUCGGCAAAGGAUCGGCCCGCGUUGGAUUAGGUAGUUGGUGGGGUAAUGGCCUACCAAGCCGACGAUCCAUAGCUGGUUUGAGAGGAUGAUCAGCCACACUGGGACUGAGACACGGCCCAGACUCCUACGGGAGGCAGCAGUGGGGAAUCUUAGACAAUGGGGGC